rnacentral:rRNA from 1 species
AUACGUAGGUGACAAGCGUUAUCCGGAUUUACUGGGCGUAAAGGGCGUGUAGGCGGUCUUGCAAGUCAGAAGUGAAAUUCCUGAGCUCAACUCGGGCGCUGCUUCUGAAACUGCAGGACUUGAGUGCUGGAGGGGAUAGCGGAAUUCCUAGUGGAGCGGUAAAAUGCGCAGAUAUUAGGAAGAACACCGGUGGCGAAGGCGGCUAGCUGGACAGUAACUGACGCUGAGGCGCGGAAGCGUGGGGAGCAAACAGGAUUAGAUAGCCUGGUAGUCCACGCUGUAAACGAUGAAUACUAGCUGUUGGGGCAACUCAGUAGCGCAGUUAACGCAUUAAGUAUUCCGCCUGGGGAGUACGCACGCAAGUGUGAAACUCAAAGGAAUUGACGGGG